GAGAAGACAGCCCAAGGCAGAAGAAGCAAGGGGAAAGAGAGAGCAUAGUUGAGCAGUGGUCGCAAAAGCAAUCAUCAUGAACUUGUUCCGGCUAGCUGGGGACAUGACGCACCUUCUCAGUAUAGUGGUCCUUCUUCUCAAGAUCCGCAAAAUGAAAUCUUGUGCUGGAAUUUCACUGAAGACUCAAGAACUGUAUGCUAUAGUUUUUCUCACUCGGUACCUCGAUUUGUUUGCCAAGUAUUACUCUAUAUACAAUGCUGCAAUGAAGCUAAUAUUCAUUGGGACUUCAGCUGCAAUUGUCUGGUACAUGCGAUACCAUAAAGUUGUGAAACAAACCUAUAGCAAGGAUGAAGAUACUUUUAGACAUUACAUUCUGAUACUCCUGUGCUUUGUGCUAGCCCUUUUGAUUCAUCGUUCCUUUGAUGUGAUUGAGGUUUUGUGGGCAUUUUCAAUUUAUCUUG
rnacentral:misc_RNA from 1 species